rnacentral:rRNA from 1 species
UACAGAGGGGGCAAGCGUUGUUCGGAAUUACUGGGCGUAAAGGGCGCGUAGGCGGCCUGCUAAGUCGAACGUGAAAUCCCCGGGCUCAACCCGGGAACUGCGUCCGAUACUGACAGGCUUGAAUCCGGGAGAGGGAUGUGGAAUUCCAGGUGUAGCGGUGAAAUGCGUAGAUAUCUGGAGGAACACCGAUGGCGAAGGCAGCCUUCUGGGCCAACACUGACGCUCAUGCACGAAAGCGUGGGGAGCAAACAGG